CCUCCGCCACGCUCAGGGCGGCGGCGGCUGCUGCUGCUGGCCGCCGGCAGAGGCCCGAGGCAGGGGAACCCCCGCGCCACCGCCAGGCCCCUCCGUGCCCCUCGCGGGCCCAUCCCCGGUACCUGUGAGUCGACGGGAGGAAGCAGCACCGUUCCGCUUGCCCAGGCCCGGCCCCACGCAGGAAGCGUCUGUGUGUGGUCAAUAGGACUACUUCCAGUACAUCAAAUUACAAGUGGAUGUGAGUCAUUCUAUGCUGAGAUGCUUAAUCUGAAAUGACUGAAUAGGUGAUUACAACAAAUGGAGGGGAACCUGAAAAUGACGGUUACAACAAUGGGAUGAUCCUGGAAUUUUGCUGGAGGAUUCUGACAGGCAGAUCACAACAGCAACUGGAGGGAAGCACUGAAGGCCCUUCACAAGGAUUUUUUUUUUCCUAUGCAAAAGUGUGAGCUAACUGGUUGGUAGCUUUUAUUCCUUUUUACUGCACAUGAAACCUUGGUUUCUGCAGUACCAGAGAUAAAUAACGCAUACUACAGCCAAAUACAAGCCACUGAGAGUGCCCUGUAUGGGAUUAAAGCACGUGAGGAGGGUUAGAAUGAGUAGAAGGAGAAAGUCACAUCCAUAACAAGAUCACAGGUCUUUGCACCGUAGCAAACUUUUAUCUUUUUCAGAGUCCCAUUUUUUUCUGAAGUUUCCCAAAGUUUUCAGGCUGAGCAACAAAGCUCACUAAAGAAGGUAGGGCUCCCCAAAAGACCAUUGGAAUCUUUUGCUUGGGGAGAGGGAAUGGGCUGGCAUGUGUGGGAUGCAGCUGGCACACAGACCCAACUCACAGACACUGGCUCUGCCUGUGUAGCUGUUGAGGGGCUGGAAGCCAGCCUUGGAGAUGAGUGCUAGGGCUGUUCAGAAGUGAAUAAACUAACAGAAAGAGGUUUUCCAUGAUUCCCUUCAGUUAUAGCUGAGACUCUGAGAGAGUGAAUGAUGUGAAACGAGGAGGCAGAACACAACUAUCCUGGAGCAUCUGCUCUUGAGCCUCAUUCCAUUUUUGAGUCCAAGCCCAUGUUCCCCACGCAGAAGCUGGAAGAGAAUGAUUCUAAACCUAUUGGUAAAAACAAGAAUCACCUUCAACUUUGAUAGAAGGAGCCCAAAGAGGAGGGUAUUAACAUCCCCAUAAUGCUAUGCCCAUGACAGCUUGCUUGCUUUUUGUCUUACUGUUAAGCAAAAUACAGGAUGCAUAAAUAGAAACACCGAAUAGAGACUGCAGGAGAUUAUUUUAGCACAAUAUGAAGACAUGAUGCCAGAAAAACCUGUAAUUUGAAUAUAUAUUUUUGUUGCAAGGUCUAGUGUUUUGUUUUACACAGACGCACAUAGAGAACAAGGGCAACAAGGCUGUCAGUUCUCGCCAUCUCAUUAGUAUUGUAGAAUUCUGAAGAAAAUGACAAAAUGCUGCAUUCAGUUGAGAAAUCAAAUUUAAACAAAAUGCUUUGAGAAAACAGAUGGUUAUCUAGAGAAAAGAGGAAACCAAGGGCAAGUGGAACUUCACUGAGUUCGCCCUGGAACUUUGCCCUGUUCUGGAGAAAACAGAGAAGUUCUAAGCUACAGAGUUGAGCUUAAGCAAGUUGAGCAGUUAAACUUGUUGAACUAGUUUAAUUGCAAGAAGAAUAAUCCACAAUAUCGAUAUAUUAUGUUUCCUGAAACUGAAAUGGACACUAUCAGAAUAUAAGGUACUUCUAUACAAACUGUCAAAUAAAUAUUUUCAAUAAUUCAUGUAUGGAAUGAAAUAGCAGGGCAACAAGAAAACCAUAUGUGGUGUUUUAACAGGAGCUAGACAAAUCUUUGGGCAUCCAAACUGAGUAGUGUUCCUGUUGUGAAAGAAAAGCACCUAAAUACACCUUUUGGGCGUUUUCAUUUUCAAAGUUCCUUCAUUCCUGUUGCCCAAUGAUCUAUUCACAUUAGAAUGUAUC